GACGAACGCUGGCGGCGUGCCUAAUACAUGCAAGUCGAACGCAGUGGGGACGGGUGAGUAACACGUGGGUAACCUCCCAUCAGAGGGGAUAACCCUUGGAAACAGGUGCUAAACCGAUACUGAUGGAUGGACCCGCGGUGCAUUAGCUAGUUGGUGGGGGAACGGCUCACCAAGGCCACGAUGCAUAGCCGACCUGAGAGGGUGAUCGGCCACACUGGGACUGAGACACGGCCCAGACUCCUACGGGAGGCAGCAGUAGGGAAUAUUCGGCAAUGGGCGAAAGUCUGACCCAGCAACGCCGCGUGAAUGAAGAAGGUUUUCGGGUUGUAAAGCUCUGUUGUUAGAGAGGCGGUAACUAACCAGGAAGCACCGGCUAACUACGUGCCAGCAGCCGCGGUAAUAC
rnacentral:rRNA from 1 species